rnacentral:snRNA from 1 species
GGAUGUGCGGGCCAUCUGGCUGCAGCAGCUGCCACCCCACGGUCACCCGGGUUGGUUCCACUGAUCUGGCUGUAGGCAGGGGUCCCCUUCUUCCCUCAGUGCUCAGCAUGAGCCCCUUGUGAAGCUCUGUGCUGUUCCAAGCCAUGACCUUCCCUGCUCUCCAGUCCAGCGCAAGUGAGUCACCGCACUCCCCCCGUUAGAGCCUUCAGACGCCCUCUCAAGGUCUAUCCGCAGGAGGACAUGGGGCGGUCAAGCUUCCAUAACUCAAGACUGCCCAGAUGAGGCGCGGCUGGUGCAGUCUGCCUCCCC